UACGGGGGGUGCGAGCGUUGUCCGGAAUUAUUGGGCGUAAAGGGCUCGUAGGCGGUUUGUCGCGUCGGGAGUGAAAACCAGGUGCUUAACACCUGGCUUGCUUUCGAUACGGGCAGACUAGAGGUAUGCAGGGGAGAACGGAAUUCCUGGUGUAGCGGUGAAAUGCGCAGAUAUCAGGAGGAACACCGGUGGCGAAGGCGGUUCUCUGGGCCUUACCUGACGCUGAGGAGCGAAAGCGUGGGGAGCAAACAGG
rnacentral:rRNA from 1 species